rnacentral:rRNA from 1 species
GGUCUGCAACUGACGCUGAGGCUCGAAAGCAUGGGUAGCGAACAGGAUUAGAUACCCUGGUAGUCCAUGCCGUAAACGAUGAGUGCUAGGUGUUGGAGGGUUUCCGCCCUUCAGUGCCGGAGCUAACGCAUUAAGCACUCCGCCUGGGGAGUACGACCGCAAGGUUGAAACUCAAAGGAAUUGACGGGGGCCCGCACAAGCGGUGGAGCAUGUGGUUUAAUUCGAAGCUACGCGAAGAACCUUACCAGGUCUUGACAUCUUGCGCUAACCUUAGAGAUAAGGCGUUCCCUUCGGGGACGCAAUGACAGGUGGUGCAUGGUCGUCGUCAGCUCGUGUCGUGAGAUGUUGGGUUAAGUCCCGCAACGAGCGCAACCCUUGUUACUAGUUGCCAGCAUUAAGUUGGGCACUCUAGUGAGACUGCCGGUGACAAACCGGAGGAAGGUGGGGACGACGUCAGACCAUCAUGCCCCUUAUGACCUGGGCUACACACGUGCUACAAUGGACGGUACAACGAGUUGCAAACUCGCGAGAGCAAGCUAAUCUCUUAAAGCCGUUCUCAGUUCGGACUGUAGGCUGCAACUCGCCUACACGAAGUCGGAAUCGCUAGUAAUCG